GCCUACUCGAAGUUAGUUGCAGUAGCCGGCACCGCCUUCCCCAGGGCCAAGGCAGUGAAAAGCUGAAUCUGGGAGUUAGCAUUCCCCAGCUCAAGCUUCCUAGGCUUGUGAGCGCCCCCUCCUGUUCAGAGACGGAAUUGGGCUCCAAUUGAACCAAAUGCUGGAUAUCCAUUCCCUCUUAUCCGCAAAUAUAAAGGCUUCAAUUCUGCUUUAGAGGCCCACAUGGUUCCCACCCACACGUAGAACCCAUGUUUCAUCCACCCCUGGAACCCUCCGGAAUCCCACCUUGGGGAUGGGCAGCGACAGAUCACAAAAAACCUCGAAGGUCGUGGAGCGAUACCCACAGGCCUGGCACUUGAGGCAACUUUUCAGCUGGCCUACAAAUAGGUCUGGAUAGAAGCAAAAAGCAGGAGAAAGUCACUGUUGGACGUCGAAGGUGCUCUCUCGGAAUCCUGCCCUUGCUGGACCUGCCUUUCUGACUUCAGCACUGCCACCACCCGGCUCUACAACCACUUCCCAUCAUCACCCAGCCUUGCUCAUUCCUCUCCCAAGCCCAAACCCCCAGUUUUGCCCAUUCCAUACCCACGAUCUUGCUGUCUUCUCGCUCCAGGUAGCGCUUCCACAUCAAGUUGGCUCGAUCAUCGUCACUACCACAGAUCAAGGGAAGGGAGGGAGCACCCAUGAGAGAGUUAUAAUACUGGGUACCCCCAACCCAUUGAAAUUAUCCAGAGCCCUGUUCCCUAUCUGCAUUCCAGCUCCUUCCCUAAAUUUCUAGUCAAAGGAGUAAUUCUUUCAAGAACUUUCUGGGGAAGUCCAGGAUGAGGAAAAGUCUAUAAAGGAAAAGUGCCAUCCCACCUCUGCAAGCCCAUUGGUAUAUUUUAUUGUAAAAGAUCCCUCCUUUCCCAAUUUAGUGACACCUCCAACUCUAUUUUAUGCCUCUACCUGCAUCCUUCAGCUUCCCUCCUCCUCCUCCCUUCUGUCCUUUCCUGUACUGACAAAACAUUUAUGUUUCUAUGCUAAAGGGUCUCCCCAAGGCCCCACAUUUCCAGUUUUAGUUAGCUCAGUUCUGUGACGACUGAU